rnacentral:rRNA from 1 species
UACGUAGGGACCAAGCGUUGUUCGGAUUUACUGGGCGUAAAGGGCGCGUAGGCGGCAUGACAAGUCACUUGUGAAAUCUCCGGGCUUAACUCGGAACGGUCAAGUGAUACUGUCGCGCUAGAGUGCGGAAGGGGCAAUCAGAAUUCUUGGUGUAGCGGUGAAAUGCGUAGAUAUCAAGAGGAAUACCUGAGGUGAAGACGGGUUGCUAGGCCGACACUGACGCCGAAGC